rnacentral:misc_RNA from 1 species
GUGAAUCAUCGAAUUUUUGAACGCAAAUUGCGCCUUUUUCUAAAGGCAUGUCUGUUUGAGGGCCCCAUUUAACAAAUAAUGUGCAUUUCGUUUGCACACGUUGAUUAGCUUUCCAAAAUUAUGUAUUAUUAUUUUUUUUGUCGCUUAAUAAACAGCGCGAUGCUUUUUAUCAUACCGUGUUUAGUAAAGUUUUUUCUUGCUUGGAUUGUGAAAAGCGUGAUCGCGCAAUGUGUUUGGCGAUUCUACUAACCCUUCCCCAACGCCACUCUUUCUCGGAAAAGAAUAGU